rnacentral:tRNA from 1 species
GUUGUGGCUCAGUGGUAGAGCGCUUGCCUAGCACAUGUGAGGCACUGGGUUCAAUCCUCAGCAUCACA